CCCUUAGAUGUUCUGGGCCGCACGCGCGCUACACUGACUGGUGCAACAAGUGUCUGACCUUGGCCGACAGGCCUGGGCAAUCUUUGAACAUCGAUCGUGAUCGGGAUAGAUUCUUGUAAUUUUUGAUCUUAAACGAGGAAUUCCUAGUAAACGCAAGUCAUCAGCUUGCAUUGAUUACGUCCCUGCCCUUUGUACACACCGCCCGUCGCACCUACCGAUUGAAUGGUCCGGUGAAAUCUCCGGACUGGCGUGAGUCGGAGCAAUCUGACAAACGCCGGAAAGUUGAUUAAACCUUACCAUUUAGAGGAAGGUGAAGUCGUAACA
rnacentral:rRNA from 1 species